rnacentral:rRNA from 1 species
GGCGAAGGCAGCCACCUGGGGCAACACUGACGCUCAUGUACGAAAGCGUGGGGAGCAAACGGGAUUAGAUACCCCGGUAGUCCACGCCGUAAACGAUGUCUACUAGAAGCUCGGAACCUCGGUUCUGUUUUUCAAAGCUAACGCAUUAAGUAGACCGCCUGGGGAGUACGGCCGCAAGGUUAAAACUCAAAUGAAUUGACGGGGGCCCGCACAAGCGGUGGAGCAUGUGGUGUAAUUCGAUGCAACGCGAAGCACCUUACCUACACUUGACAUACAGAGAACUUACCAGAGAUGGUUUGGUGCCUUCGGGAACUCUGAUACAGGUGCUGCAUGGCUGUCGUCAGCUCGUGUUGUGAGAUGUUGGGUUAAGUCCCGCAACGACCGCAACCCCGAUCCUU